GCCUCGUUAGCUCAAUUGGUUAGAGCAUCUGACUCUUAAUCAGAGGGUUCCCAGUUCGAUUCUGGGACGAGGCA
rnacentral:tRNA from 2 species